GCUUCCGUAGCUCAAUUGGUUAAGAGCGACCGCCUAGUCUGCGGUUGAAGCGGGUUCGAGUCCCGCCGGAAGCG
rnacentral:tRNA from 1 species